rnacentral:rRNA from 1 species
UACGUAGGGCGCGAGCGUUGUCCGGAUUUAUUGGGCGUAAAGAGCUCGUAUGCGGCUUGUCGCGUCGUCCGUGAAAACCUGCAGCUCAACUGCAGGCUUGCGGUCGAUACGGGCAGGCUAGAGUUCGGUAGGGGAGACUGGAAUUCCUGGUGUAGCGGUGAAAUGCGCAGAUAUCAGGAGGAACACCGGUGGCGAAGGCGGGUCUCUGGGCCGAUACUGACGCUGAGGAGCGAAAGUGUGGGGAGCGAACAGG